rfam:Rhizobiales bacterium TMED168 MHASMcontig_501614, whole genome shotgun sequence.
GGGCGAAUGGCGGAACUGGUAGACGCGGCGGCCUCAAAAGCCGCUGAACUUAUGUUCAUAAGGGUUCGAGUCCCUUUUCGCCCA